rnacentral:rRNA from 1 species
AGUGGCGAACGGGUGAGUAACACGUGAAUAACCUGCCCUGGAGUGGGGGACAACAUUAGGAAACUGAUGCUAAUACCGCAUAAGACCACAGUACCGCCUGGUACAGUGGCCAAAGGAGCAAUUCGCUCUGGGAUGGAUUCGCGUCCAAUUAGCUAGAUGGUGAGGUAACGGCCCACCAUGGCGACGAUUGGUAGCCGGACUGAGAGGUUGAACGGCCACAUUGGGACUGAGACACGGCCCAG